AGUUUGAUCCUGGCUCAGGAUGAACGCUGGCGGCGUGCUUAAUACAUGCAAGUCGAACGGAAUAAAUUGGGAGCUUGCUCUUGAUUUAUUUAGUGGCGGACGGGUGAGUAACGCGUGGGUAACCUGCCUCAUACAGGGGGAUAACAGUUAGAAAUGACUGCUAAAACCGCAUAACAUGAUAUAACCGCAUGAUUGUAUCAUCAAAUAUUUAUAGGUAUGAGAUGGGCCCGCGUCUGAUUAGCUAGUUGGUGGGGCAAUGGCCUACCAAGGCGACGAUCAGUAGCCGUACUGAGAGGUAGAACGGCCACAUUGGGACUGAGACACGGCCCAAACUCCUACGGGAGGCAGCAGUAGGGAAUAUUGGACAAUGGGGGAAACCCUGAUCCAGCGACGCCGCGUGAGUGAAGAAGUUAUUCGUAAUGUAAAGCUCUAUCAGCAGGGACGAUAAUGACGGUACCUGACUAAGAAGCACCGGCUAAAUACGUGCC
rnacentral:rRNA from 1 species